rnacentral:rRNA from 1 species
AGAGUUUGAUCAUGGCUCAGAAUCAACGCUGGCGGCGUGCCUAACACAUGCAAGUCGAACGCGGUUCGUAGCAAUACGAACUGAGUGGCGAACGGGUGAGUAACACGUGGGUGACCUACCUUCGAGUGGGGGAUAACGUCCCGAAAGGGACGCUAAUACCGCAUAACAUCCUUCCUUUGAACAGGGGGAGAUCAAAGCCGGGGAUCGCAAGACCUGGCGCUUGAUGAGGGGCCCGCGUCUGAUUAGCUAGUUGGUGAGGUAAUGGCUCACCAAGGCGACGAUCAGUAUCCGGCCUGAGAGGGCGGACGGACACACUGGGACUGAGACACGGCCCAGACUCCUACGGGAGGCAGCAGUGGGGAAUUGUUCACAAUGGGCGCAAGCCUGAUGACGCAACGCCGCGUGGAGGAUGAAGGUCUUCGGAUUGUAAACUCCUGUUGCUCGGGACGAAAUGCUCCAACCUAAUACGUUGGAGUUUGACGGUACCGAGUGAGGAAGCCCCGGCUAACUCUGCGCCAGCAGCCGCGGUAAUACAGAGGGGGCAAGCGUUGUUCGGAAUUACUGGGCGUAAAGGGCGCGUAGGCGGCCUGUUAAGUCGAACGUGAAAUCCCCGGGCUCAACCCGGGGACUGCGUCCGAAACUGGCAGGCUCGAAUUCGGGAGAGGGAUGCGGAAUUCCAGGUGUAGCGGUGAAAUGCGUAGAUAUCUGGAGGAACAUCGGUGGCGAAGGCGGCAUCCUGGACCGAUAUUGACGCUGAGGCGCGAAAGCCAGGGGAGCAAACGGGAUUAGAUACCCCGGUAGUCCUGGCCCCUAAAC